rnacentral:rRNA from 1 species
CCUUAUGCAUGCAAGUCGAACGGGGUUGCGAUUUUCGGAUUGUAAUCUAGUGGCGAACGGCUGAGUAACACGUAAGUAACCUGUCUUUGAGUGGGAAAUAACCUGCCGAAAGGCAAGCUAAUGUCCCAUGUGGUGACCAAGCCCAAGUUUGGUCACUAAAGCCUUCGGGUGCUCGAAGAGGGGCUUGCGUCCGAUUAGUUUGUUGGUGGGGUAAUGGCCUACCAAGGCGAUGAUCGGUAGCUGGUCUGAGAGGAUGGCCAGCCAGAUGGGGACUGAGACACGGCCCCAACUCCUACGGGAGGCAGCAGCAAGGAAUUUUGGGCAAUGAGCGAAAGCUUGACCCAGCGACACCGCGUGAGGGAGGAAGGCCUUCGGGUCGUAAACCUCUUUUCUUGGGGAAGAAUUCUGACGGUACCCAAGGAAUAAGCCUCGGCCAACUACGUGCCAGCAGCCGCGGUAAUACGUAGGAGGCGAACGUUAUUCGGAUUUACUGGGCGUAAAGGGAGCGUAGGCGGUUGCUUAAGUCAGAUGUGAAAUCUUUUGACUCAAUCAGAAGGGGCCAUCUGAUACUGGGCGACUUGAGAGCAGCAGAGGGAAAUGGAAUCCCCAGUGUAGCGGUGAAAUGCGUAGAUAUUGGGGAGAACACCAGUGGCGAAGGCGAUUUUCCAGGCUGUUUCUGACGCUGAGGCUCGAGAGCGUGGGGAGCGAAGCGGAUUAGAUACCCGCGUAGUCCACGCCCUAAACGG